UCGUCACCACGAAGAAGAAAUUCUCGGCGAGAAGAGGAAUGACAGAAAGACGAAGAAGCCAGUUCUACGAGCAUGCUCCUAGCGGAAUUUUCACCUCGCGAAAAUUCUCCGGAUCGUUAAAGGAGACAGGAACAUCGCAACGUGCAUCUUCUCCGUUUCCUCUACUCCAUCUUACCGCUCACUCCUGAGGGAGGAAAGAACGAGUGACCCGGAAAUUCCGACACGCCGAUGUGGAUAUUGGACAUAUUUCUUCAAGGCGAAGCCUUGGGUGAGCCUCGUCGCAGGUACGGCUAAUAAACCUACACGUAUCGAAUGGGACGUGAUUCAAUUAAACAUGAACGAAGAAACCGAGAGAGAGGACAAUUCUUACAUUAAUGUUAUGUAAUCGACAUCACAAACGGAAUAUCUUUCUUUGGAUCGCAGUCGAGAAUGUCGAACAUUGGCUGCGUUUUGUAAAGUGCAUGAUGUAUCAUUUUAUUUUUGUUGUUCAUCGUAUGUUAAACAAAGAUAAAAUGAUACAUCAUACGCUUUAUGGAAUCAGGGAACUGUCGAUAGACGUUCCCGGUGCGUAUCACGCAACCGAUACGCGAUAUACACGCCCACGCAUAAAAAAACAUGCGCAACCCGGUACGGUUAACGCUGACAAGGAAAAAGAGAGCGGCAAGGACGAUACGAUACAAUGGGGUGGCGAACGGAGAGAAAUAACAGCCGCAGAUACUUCGAGAGCAGAAUGUGUUUAGAAAAGCGCGGUAAAAAAUGGAGCAUAAAUAUGAAUUGCAGAAAAAUAUUUGGGAAAUUGAAACAGAAAUACAAGAAAAAAUCAGUGCAAGAAUAAAUGAAAAAAAAUGGAGUAAUAAUAAUGCAUUAAGAGAGAGAGAAUAGAGCAAAAAUACAUAACUAGAAAAGUAUAGUUAAAAAUUAAGAACAAAUACAAAUUGCAGUAAAAAUACUCGAGAAAAAUUGGAAUAAA